rnacentral:sRNA from 1 species
GUCGGGCAUGGUGGCACAUGCCUGUAAUCCCAGCAGCUCAAGAGGCUGAGGCAGGAGGAUCACCUUAAGCAAUUUAGUGAGACCCUGUCUCAA